CACACAGACGCUGAACUUCUGCCUCUCACUGCAACGAUACAUGAAGCGGGAGUUUACUAUUCACCUCAGGACAUACGGUUUUUCAUCGACUUAUCUUUGAUUUAUUUGAAGGAAAAGACCCUGAUGGAUAAAAGAUGGAUAUUUUUUCCUGGAGAAGCUAAAACAAUGUCACUUUGAGGUUCUGAUACCAGCUUUUACAAAGUUAUUUACAGAGUUCACCAGACUUCUCUGUGUUAUUUCCUGACCAUGCCGAAAAGCUAUUUGAAACUUGGGCAUUGCAUUUUCCAGACAGAAUCCUGCACUUCCCAGCCAAGAACCAGGAGCAUCAACAAAUCACCUCCAGAACCCCAUGAUGAUAUUCCAACUCCUGUCUACAACAGUGGGAAGAAAAUCUUAAAGGA